CCCUACGGGAGGCAGCAGUGGGGAAUUUUGGCCAAUGGGGGCAACCCUGAUCCAGCCAUCCCGGUUGAGGGAAGAAGGCUUUCGGGUUUAAAUCUCUUCGGCCGGAAAGAAACGGCCCGGUCUAACACCCUGGAGAAUGACGGUACCGAAGAGAAGCACAGCUAAUUUG
rnacentral:rRNA from 1 species